rnacentral:rRNA from 1 species
AACGUAGGAGACAAACGUUAUCCGGAGUUACUGGGCGUAAAGGGCGUGCAGGCGGUCUGUUAAGUCUGGCGUGAAAGCUCGCGGCUAAACCACGAGAGGUCGUUGGAUACUGACGGACUAGAGGACGGUAGAGGCGUGUGGAAUUCCGGGUGUAGUGGUGAAAUGCGUAGAUAUUCGCAAGAACACCAGUGGCGAAGGCGGCUCACUGGCCCGAUACUGACGCUGAGGCACGAAAGCGUGGGGAGCAAACAGG